UUUCAGUGUUCCUGUUCACCCUGACUCACAGUUUUGGUUUGCUUUCACCUACAAAACUCAAAGUUCAUGUUCACAGUUUACCGCAAGGAUUCUCGGAAAGCUUGGUUCAGUACACGCUCCUGCAGCACAGAGAGGAGCUUGAAGAAGAUGAAGUUCGAUAGGGUUUACACAUUGGAUCGCGCAUGGGACUGCAUCAUCGGAGAGGGGAGAGCGGCCCGCGGAUAAACGGAGUAGGAAGUGCUACCAUCAGCGUCAGCUCUGAGGAAGUUUGCAGCCGCAAACGAAACUGUCAGCAAGAACUAUGACGUUCCCUCCCUGAAACGACUGUUGGAGAUCAGCUGGACAAGCCACCAUGAUGUGACCAAGUGCCAUGUGGAAAAACAGGAUGCUAUUAUGAGUAUCCUGUCAGAGGUUACAGAAGACAGAGCUGCUGCUGUUGAUAUCUUUACAGAGGCAUCAGGACUGUUGAUGAUGUUAAAUAGGCAUCACUUCUUUGAAAUAGGAAAAUUCCUCCUAAAUGUCCUGGGUUCCAUGAAGUAGGGCUGUUCGAUUAUGGCAAAAAUAAUAAUCACGAUUAUGGUGACUAAAAUUGAGAUCUCAAUUAUUUAGGACGAUUUUUCAAUUUAUGUUGAUUUUAUUUGCUUUUAUUCAGUCAUAAAAUUGCCCAGGGCACAGUCAGGACCAAAAUAAAAAAGAAACAAGAUGAUCACUAAAAGAACUCCUGAUUCCCAGCAUAAAAAGACCAAUUUACUUAUAGCUCACAGUUUAUGACCCAAAGGCUAUAGACCUUGGUUUAAAUCAUUUAAGUCUAACCAAUACAGACCCAAAUACCAAUAUCUUGCAAAUACUGACAGCAAGAAUUAUACAGUGGCAUUUAUAACAAAUAAAUGCAAAUAAAUUGAUUUUCACAAAAUGUUGCAUAGCAUUUAUUGAGUCGUGUCAAGGUGCUGUAGGCGAGUGCACUAGCACCGUGUCCUCAGAGAGAUUAGUUAUUAGUUAUCAGUGUGAGGAACUUAUUUCUACUUUAUUUUUAAACUAUGUAUUUACAAGUCCAUCAGUUAAUGUAAUAAUUGUCCCAACCACAGCUGCACCCCCACCCCCAACCCGGUCUCAGCAAUCGGGGCAAGCUGCACGUGUGUUUAGCGCGCCGCACGCGCACAUUUAGCCGUUUUUAGUGGCUCAGGAGUCCGCAGGUGCGGUGUGUGUGUCACUCACUCUGGUUACUCCAACAGGGAGCCGGCUCCGAGAGCUGUUUCUAAAGCGACUGACACAUCACUACAUCAUUCCCUUUCUUAAUGUCCUGAAGAACGGUCCGGAGCGCAGGCGGAGUGUUUAGCUAACCUGCAGGAAAUGUCGACGACAGUUAUCCAGAAAGUAGCUAAGGGUUACCAGAGAUGUUUCUGAGGUGUUCUCUAGGUACUUUUAAGAUUUAAAAAGUCAAGAAGGGGGUCUGAAAAGCUGUUGGAAAUAGCGUCAAAGUCGCCAAGUUGGCAACACUGUGGGAGGAGCGCUUCAUUUGCAACUCGGGGCAGCGCAAGUGGGAGGAGCAAAUAAUCGGCUUGUUUUGUUUUUAUAAUCGUUCAAAACUCAAAUCGUAAUCGUGAUUAAAAUUCGAUUAAUUGAGCAGCCCUACCAUGAAGUCUGCAAAUUCUAUGCUGCAGUCUCAUUCUGUUGACCUGUGCUGUGCUUCAGAAGUAGUCAGAUCAUCUCUGCAGGCUUUGAAGCAGAUGAGAGAUGAGGAAAGUGAGACAUUAACCAGCACACCUGCACCAGCUGCUAAAAGACAAAGAAAAACAAGCUCACUGCUAACAGGUAGUGUUGUAAUGUCCACUGUGGGCCACGCAGAAGACUCCACAACUCCUAGCCAGGCUCUGAAGAGAGCUCUUCUCAACAUUUUGGACAUAGUCAUUACAGAGAUGGAGACAAAAUUCUCCAAAAGCAAUCUUGAUCUCAUGAAAGCAGUUAACUGCCUUCAACCUCAGUCUCCCUCUUUUUUGGAUCCUGACAUGUUAAGUCCUUUGCAGAAAAUGACAGGAAGUGACAGUGACAAACUUUCCAAUGAAAUUCUUGUUGCAAAAAUGAUGUUGGAGAAAGAAUUCAAAAAGACUGAUGAUGAUAACAGUGUAGAGUAAGUAGACCUCUCUACCGUUUGCAAAUAUCUACAUGGGUAUGAGAAUGCCUUUCCUCAACUCCAUUGCAUGUAUGUGACCUCCCUUGUGAUUGGAAUAUCAGCAGCAUCAUGCGAGAGCUCUUUCUUCACUUUGUCUUGUGUUCUUACCCCAUUCCGCCGUACUACGCUACACGAGAGAAAAAUAAAUUUAGUCAUUCUGGCUCA